rnacentral:rRNA from 1 species
AUUGAACGCUGGCGGCAGGCUUAACACAUGCAAGUCGAGCGGGGUGAUGGUGCUUGCACUAUCACUUAGCGGCGGACGGGUGAGUAAUGCUCAGGAAUCUGCCUAUUAGUGGGGGACAACAUCUCGAAAGGGAUGCUAAUACCGCAUACGUCCUACGGGGGAAAGCAGGGGAUCACUUGUGACCUUGCGCUAAUAGAUGAGCCUAAGUCGGAUUAGCUAGUUGGGGGGGUAAAGGCCUACCAAGGCGACGAUCUGUAGCGGGUCUGAGAGGAUGAUCCGCCACACUGGGACGGAGACACGGCCCAGACUCCUACGGGAGGCAGCAGUGGGGAAUAUUGGACAAUGGGGGGAACCCUGAUCCAGCCAUGCCGCGUGUGUGAAGAAGGCCUUAUGGUUGUAAAGCACUUUAAGCGAGGAGGAGGCUCUUUUGGUUAAUACCCAGAAUGAGUGGACGUUACUCGCAGAAUAAGCACCGGCUAACUCUGUGCCAGCCGCCGCAGUAA